GAUCUGCAUAUGCCUGGCUCCCUGUAUGCCAUUUGCAGAGCUCAUCGGAAUACCGUUGGGUCCCCGUGAAUGGCGUAUGAGGAGCCAAGCAUAUCCCCGAUAU
rnacentral:pre_miRNA from 1 species